CACUAUCAGCCCUGUCAAUCAAAGGCAGGCUGUUUAAACAGCAUACACCCCCUCCCACCACCACCACCACCACCACCACCCAGGACUAUCUCUUAUAAGCCUCCACCAUCAGAGCUGCCUCCCCUCCACUCCCUGUAAUAGCAGCACCACCCUGCCACACACACACACACACACACACACAGACACACAGGGCAGAACUGCUGUGUCCAUCAUCGAUCAUACUCCCCCAGAAACCCACCCCAGGGGUGGGAGGGCUUACCAGCUGAUGGAGGACCCCUGUGUGCUGCCCAACCAGGUGCCUGAUCACAAAGUCAAAACACUACUAAGCCCUGGUGUUAGCAGACUGAAGAGCUCGCUGUUUCUCACACACACACACACACACACACACACACACACACACACACAGAGCAGAUAAGCCAGCAGGAGGGUUAAACCCUGGAUGAUUAGACAAAUGUUGGGCAGAUAUCUGUGGCUUCAGAUGCGAGCUGAGCUGCUGUCAACGAGGAAUGCAUCAACAUGGGCACCUGCCUCUGACUGAGCAGCCUCUAGACAACAAAAAGCCGGAGAACAAAACUGCAAUCAAGACCGCUUGAAGCCGAGUGAAACCAAAGAGAGGAAAGCUUGAUUUGAUUCUGGAUUUUAUUUGUAUUGUCUUGAUUGUAUCCAUGAAAACCAAAUUACACAGCUUGAAAUGAUUUGAAAAAUUACAACUGUACAGUACACACACAAAUUUCUACAUUCAUAAUUCAGGCAAAGCAGCACAUCUUAGUGUAUGUGACUAGGUUGUUAUACAUAAAAAUGUCUACUUCAAUAAAAAACACAGUGAACAGAGAAAUAUGAUUUUACCCAAGUAAAAUGAUGGAAGAGAGCAACUACCAAGAAGUACAUCUGGAAGACUAUUUAAUUUAUGUUUACUUGUAUUAAAUGUAUCAACCACUACUUCCACUGUGACCUACAAUUAAAGUCACACCUGUGUUUUUAGUCCACAUCCAGUUCAUCGCUGGGCAAUGAAAACCAUGUACCUCCAAGUUUGGUGAUUUUGAAUUUUGAAAAAAGUUGAUAAACCAUUUAAAGGCCACCCAUUAGAAAAAUGCACUGUCUCAAAGCUUAAAGUAAAGCUGUUUUACUUUGAUCCUGUAAAGUGGGUAGUUUGGAGAUUCAUGGUUUUCCCAGGAGUUUUUACAUCCAAGAUUUGUUGCCAUGAUCUUUCCCAUCCUGCAUGAAGACGUCACACACUAGAAAUGAAAGCGGAACCAUAAAACAGGUUAACCAAGUGCCAUGAGUAAUUCCUACACAGGUUUUGGCAUAUGUCUGGUAAUUCAGUUAAAUUAUUUAAUUAGACCUCAGCCUCAAAGAGAGAGAGCAAAGAGCAAUAAAGCUGAGAGAGGCUCCAAUGUAAUAAACCAUUAGCAGGAGGAGGCAGCCGCUGGUGUGUACAGUAAUGCAGUGUAAAUCAUCACAGAGUGGCUGCCAUUAGGAGGCUUAAUCCUAGCCAGAAACCUGCAGUCAGCUGCUAGGGGCCCUGAUCCGGUGCCGAGUGGAACCAGAUCCGGCAAACAGAGGUGUUUAGGGCCGGGGCAGGAGGAAGAGGAGGAGGAGGAGGAAGGGAACAGGGAGAGUGUAGGGGGAACAGCUGAGGAGAUUCCCAGUGUGUGUGUGUGUGUGUGUGUGUGUGUGUGUGUGUGUGUGUGUGUGUGUGUGUGUGUGUGUGUGUGUGUGUGUGUGUGUUUGUGUGUUUGUGUGUUUGUGUGCCCCCCACAGGUCUCCCUCCUGUAGGAUAAUGGUGGUGAGGAGAAGCAGCAGGAUUCAGCCUCAUCCCUCUUCAUUCUCAGAUAGCCUGUAUUCUUCUGCUAAGUGACACUCCUCUAUCACCCCCCUGAUACACUCACACACAUACACACACAUGCAUAUACACCCUUCCCUCUCUCUCUCUCUCUGCCUCCCAGUUCAAUGACACCUUGGAGAUUCUGGAUGCAAUAACAACGCACACGCAGAGACUGAAGGGGGGAAACAAAACUGGACAAAUUACAGUAAAAGUAUAAGUGCACUGUUAUUUAUUUUAUUUUGAAGGUCCAGUCAUGUCAGUUUUGUUUAUUUAGCCUAAAAUUUUAAAUUAUUAUUAGUCAACACAGAAGGACUUUAUUUGACACCCAUUUCAGUUUAUAUCAAUAAAAUGAAACUAUUUUACAAUUAUCAUUUACACUAAAAACAUCAUAGAAUACACAAGAAACCACUGCUGAAUAAUUGCAGCCAAAAACCAGUUACUGAUAAAUAUAAAAUAAUUACAGAGAGAAUAAAACUACAACACAUUUUUAUUUAAAAGGGGGGAAAAAGUAAAUAUUUUGCAGAAUUAAAACAAAACUGAGUAAAUAAAAGAAAGUUGGAUUGGCUGUGAGGAACAAAUGGAUGAUCAAAUAAAUAUUUGGAAGAUAUUUCUGCAUGGGAGAAGGAAUGCAAAGAAAAAUCUCCAAACCUCAUUUCUAUCUGCUCUCACAAUCCCCACUGUGUGUGUGUGUGUGUGUGUGUGUGUGUGUGUGUGUGUGUGUGUGUGUGUGUCUGUGUCUGUGUCUGAAAGAGAGAGAGAGAGGUAGAAAAUUACAACAUCUAUCUAUCUAUCUGUCUAUCUGUCUGUCUGUCUGUCUGUCUAUUCAUAUACGUUACACAUUUCUUGUUCAUUUGUCUCAUGUUGGCAACCAUCAGAGGAAAAUUGCAAAUUGCUAAAAAAUAAAUACAAAUUCUCUCAAUAAAUCCCAGUAGGCUGCAUAAAGCUGAUUGUAGUAUUUAUGUAUUUUGGAUUUAUUUUAGAGAAAUUUAAACGUUUCGUUUUAAAGGUUUGAAAGACUUCUAAAUACAAAUAAAUAAUAUAAACAUCUUCUUGGGAUUUAAUAGGCUGUAUAAAUAAGUUGUAUGCGGGUCACAUGCGGGGCAGAUGCUGUAAUGGUUGCAGUGUACACAGUUGAUCGCCCCGGCGUGUAGCAGCUUCUUCCCCGGACUCAGCGGUGCCUGGUAUGCUCGCCUGCCCCCGUGCGACGCGUUGCGCGGCCAGCGAGCCGUUCCUGCUCCGCUGCCUGCGGCUCCCACUACCGGCGAGAAGAGAGGAGCUCCGAAAAAACCCGCACACGAGCGGUGAGGACAACUUCACUGUGCGCCAAGAGCAUAUAAAUUCAGCGGCGAAGGGAGGGGGUUUACAUAAGCGAUUUUCUGUUGUCUGCUAUUCCCCUUCGAUAGGGGAAAUGCAGCUCUGCAGCAGAGAGGAGUUCCCAGCAGCAGCUCUGCCGUCCACAUUAUCACCCUGCUUAUUCUGUCCGAGGCUACUCGUCCUGUUGACUCAUCCUCCUGUCUGCGACCUCCACUGGGUUUUGUCUUGAAGACCAUCGACCACAGCAGCCAACUGCAGAGAAGCCACAUGACCCACACAGAAAUGCACUAAAUUAUGUAUAAAUUCAAUUAAACUCAUCUAGAAACCUC